GAAAGGAGAGCCUGCGGAGAAAGAAGCAUUUCCCGGAGGAAGCAGUGGUUGCAUGCCAGCCUCAGCUCCAGGAAGGGAGGCCAUGCCAGGCACAGGCACAGGAGAUGAGGGUGCUGGGAAGGCUUCUCCAUCAGCUUGGAUGAAUAAAGUUUUGAAGUCCUUGGAGCCUCCUGCAGAUGUGUCUACAGGGAAGACUUCUCCAGCUUCUCCAGCUGCUACUUUGGAUGCUGCACUCAAGCCCAGCUCCCAUCUCAGGGGUGAGUAGUGUGUCCCUGCUGACCCCACAGGCUGAACCCUGCUUUUCUGGGGUCCAUUCCUGGGAAAUGGAAAUAUUUUUCUCUAAGGUACUCCAACAGGGAAAAUCCAAGAUACAACAGAUAAGAUAUCCCUGGAACCAUCCAAACAGAUGAGGCAAGAGCUGAAGGAACCCCUGCAGACAA